UACGAAGGAUUAAUUGCAAAGGAUUAAGAUUCUCCAGAUUGCUAAAAUGCUCAACAAAUUACUUUUAACAUUUGAAAGAUGGAACAAGCAGAAAUCUUUCUUGAAGGAUAAGGGGGUGUCUUCUGCCAUCUGCCAUUUAACAAGCUGACUUUAGAUAUGACCUAAAAUUAAGGAUAUCCAGGUCAUUUCCUUCUGCCAUCCUCCACUUCUGUUUUGGGAGCAGCUAUCUAAGGAAAUGGUGUAGGUGGUCAUAGAACCAUAAGGCUGAUGAACUGGAGGAGAGUCUGUUCAUCCUGUAAUCUGUGUUACACAUUGCACUUGAAAUGGCUGAUUAGUGAGAUGUUCAUUAAUGAUACACAUGAAUUUUCAUCUUGUGACUGGAAUGAUAUUAAAAUUAUUGGAGACAUGUAUGUCCUUCUGAUGGACAGAUGUCCCUUGCUGCCUUUCUCUCUUUAAGGGGAUUUUUUAUCUUCUAUUUCAAGGCACUUGAUUUUCUGUUGAUUUAUGUCUAUUUUAGGGUCCCUUAUCUCUUUCACUUCUGUUUCUGCUUUCAGAA